AUUUUGCUUGGGAAAAGGAAAGGAAACUUGGGCUUGUUUCGGAAAUUCUCGGAGUUGAUGAAUUAAGCGAAUCAGUAGAGAAUAAACUUGCUCAACAGGAAUUUUCCUGCGAAUGUGUCGGGUCGUGUAACUCACUUGAAGAUGCAAAAACUUCUAAUAAUCAACUCCCCAAAGAAGAAAUUGAGAUUAUUGAUUAUUUAACAGAGGAAGGUAGUGAAGAUGGUGCUGCAUGCAAAUGCGAGUAUUACCCGAUUGAUAAAAGUCAAAAGAGAGAAAUCGAGAUGGAUUUGAUAAACGAGGAAUUGGGUGUGGACGAGGGUGAAGUUAAUUGUGGGAUUGGUGGUACAAAGGAGGGGUUGCUUGAUGAGGAGGAGGAUGAUGAUUGGGAAGGAGUAGAAGGAAGCGAGUUGGAGAGGCUUUUUGGUGCUGCUGUGGCGUAUGUUGGUUCUAUAGAUAAUGUUGAUAAUAUAUCGAGUCUUAGCACUGAUUUGAAGCUGAAGUUUUAUGGACUUUACCAGGUUGCAAUUGAAGGACCUUGCCAUGUGCCCCAACCCAUGCCAUUGAAGUUCUCUGCUCGCUCAAAGUGGAAUGCGUGGCAACAACUUGGGAACAUGAGCCCUGAGGUGGCUAUGGAGCAGUAUAUCAACCUCCUUUCAAGAAACUUUCCUGGAUGGAUGAAAGAUGAUUUUGGGGAAGAUGGUAAGCAGGGAUUUGCAGACAAUGACGCAACAAGGAACCUAGCUUCUGAUUUAAGGCCAUCUCAAGGAAAUCAACAAGGGGUUCUAGUUGAGAGUGCCAAAUGUUAUAAUCACC
rnacentral:misc_RNA from 1 species